rnacentral:rRNA from 1 species
UACGUAGGAUGCAAGCGUUGUCCGGAAUUAUUGGGCGUAAAGAGCGCGCAGGCGGUCUAUCAAGUCAGAUGUGAAAUAUCCCGGCUUAACCGGGAGGGGUCAUUUGAAACUGGUAGACUAGAGUACAGCAGAGGAUAGUGGAAUUCCCGGUGUAGUGGUGAAAUGCGUAGAUAUCGGGAGGAACACCAGUGGCGAAGGCAGGCUACUGGGUGCCACCUGACACUGCUAGGACGAAAGCGUGGGGAGCGAAUGGG